rnacentral:rRNA from 1 species
UACAGAGGGUGCAAGCGUUGCUCGGAAUCAUUGGGCGUAAAGGGUAGGUAGGUGGUCUCAUUUGUCUGGGGUGAAAUCCUUGGGCUUAACUCAAGAAGUGCCUUAGAAACGGUGAGACUAGAGUCUUGGAGAGGGUCGUGGAAUUCCCGGUGUAGCGGUGAAAUGCGUAGAGAUCGGGAGGAACACCAGAGGCGAAAGCGGCGGCCUGGACAAGCACUGACACUCAACUACGAAAGCGUGGGUAGCAAACAGG